rnacentral:rRNA from 1 species
GACGAACGCUGGCGGCGCGCUUAACACAUGCAAGUCGAACGGAAAGGCCUGCUUUCCCUUGUGGGUUGCGGGUACUCGAGUGGCGAACGGGUGAGUAACACGUGAGUGAUCUGCCCCCAACUUGGGUAUAAGCCUGGGAAACUGGGUCUAAUUCCCGAUAGGACUGCAGGGUGGUGCCUGUGGUGGAAAACGAUUUUCUAGUGGUUGGGGAUGAGCUCGCGGCCUAUCAGCUUGUUGGUGGGGUAAUGGCCUACCAAGGCGGCGACGGGUAGCCGGCCUGAGAGGGUGGACGGCCACAUUGGGACUGAGAUACGGCCCAGACUCCUACGGGAGGCAGCAGUGGGGAAUAUUGCACAAUGGGCGGAAGCCUGAUGCAGCGACGCCGCGUGGGGGAUGACGGCCUUCGGGUUGUAAACUCCUUUCGACCGCGAGGAAGCCACCUGGUUGGAAGGGUGGUGACGGUAGUGGUAGAAGAAGCACCGGCUAACUACGUG